CUGAGAGUUAGAGGCGAGGAAAGAGAGGCAGAGAUGGCUGUCUGAAACCAUUCCCCUCUUUAUCGAGUAAUGACAGAUUGUUGGGAGAUAAUUGGAAGAAGAUGAUGGUAGAAUUGAUAAGGGUUUGGAUGAAAUUUUGAUACCGAUUGAAAUCAGAGUUGAAUCGUAAAAUACGCUGAUGCUGUUGGUUCUUGUCUUGCAGAAACACAUAGGUUUUGUUGUUCAUGAUUGUGAACUGAUGGUGCUGAUUGAACCCAGAAAUGGAGGAGAUUGAGACAGCUUAUGAGUUGUGCUAGGGUUAAUGGAAGAAUGGGUUUUGAAAUCAAAAAGAGAAGAAUUGCUGCUAUCGUCCAGGGUAAUUGAAGAGCAGAUUUAAGGCUUGUGAAUAUGAGAUGGGUAUUUCGGAUUAUCGGUUUUGAUGGUGGUACUGGUAGAAGCUAAUGGCCUUGGAUUGUGUGAAAUUACAGAAGAACAAAGAAUUGAUGGCAACUGGAUGUUUACUGAGAUGACUCUGGUGGCAUUGGACUGGGAAUGGUUUGAGAUUACAGCUGAGUUUAGAUAGUGAGCUGUAUUGCAAAAAAUGGUCGGUGGUUGGUGUUAUAUGUAAAGCUAUAAGAAAUUGAAGCUGUUGCAGGUGACUAUGGAGAAUGGUAAUGAAACUGUGGCCUAUGAACAGGUGUUUGAAGCUGCAGAAAUUGGUUGUGCAGGCAUGAUGAUACAGGCGCUGCUGCCUUGAGCUAGCAUAGCCAUGAUCUUGAGGUUGAGGCAGUGGUUAGGGUUCUGGAUGGAACUGAUGCUGCAGGUAAUUGGGUGAAUGAGGUGGAAACUGAUUCGAAUUCGAUAUAAGAAGAUGGGUCUUUGGUGAUACAAGAAAUAAGUUCAAGGCUAGGAGCAUGGAAGAUGGCUGUGUUUGAAGUUGUUGUUGGAGGAAAUUGCAGUUGGUGAUAAUGUUGUGGAUAAAUGGCUAAAGUACUGAGCUGCUAAUGGUUGUGACAAUAUCGCAUAAGAAGUGUUGCUACAGAUGAAUUUAAUUGGUGGUGUUGACUAUUGCCAUCAGUUGAGAACAACAACAGCAAGGUUUGAAGAGUGAGGUUGUACACAACAGAACUGGUGGUGCUGUUGUUGGUUAUGGAGGCAGUAAAGAAGCUGAGAGGAACAAGGAAGAGAAUGGGUUAAUGCAGUCUUGCAUUCGAGCAAUGGUUGAGCUGAGUUGCUGCAGAUGGGAAUGGCAUGAAGCUGAAGCUUGGGUUCUCGGUGGAGUAAAUGUUGGCAGCAAGAUGGAGUUGAAAUUGCAAUUGUAGGAGUUCAAUGGUGGUUCAGAAUGGGUUGGUGUUGAUUGUGUAUGAUUCAAGUUGCAGCUGAAGUGCAGUCUGGUGGUUGAUUGGUCUGUGAGACAGAGAAGUGAAGGCUUAUGAUGGUUACAGUGCUGGCAAGGAGGAACUCGGGGGAGGUGCUUGAGCUGCAAUCAGAAAUGGAAGUGUUAAGUGGUGAAACAAAUUGCAAUGGCCUGAGUUAGUAAGAAUGAUGCUCAUGGAGGAGCAAGGUUUGUUGCUUCAGUUGCGGCAGAAGUUCAAAUUGGUGGUGUUGCCAAUAUGGAGGGAGAGAAUAAAAUGGUGCAGUGAAGCUGGAGUUGCAGCUGCAGUUGGAGAACAAAAGAUUGUGGGCUGCUAUAGAGUGGUGUGUCGUAUGGGUGGCUCUGCAUUGGUUUACUGGGAUUUGUUUGAGCUACAGAUGGUGCACAAAUGCUUGAUUAAAUUUUGCAUGAAUGAAUGAUUGUAAAGUGCAGGAAAGGACCAAGAAAAUGGCUGGAAAUACCUAGAAAUCAAAGGGAACUCUGCGGGAAUUUCAUUCUGCCGAGUUCACUCAGUGAUCCAGGUACCUGACUCACCGAUCCAUUGGUUUACUCAGAUGACUUGGGCUCUUAUAUGUGGGUUGUUUCAAGGAGUAACUUUUGGCAGAAGGGUGCGACCUAAAUUUGGACUUAGAAAUCGAUAAGGCAGAGAAACUAUAAAGACAGAGAAAGAAAAUUGUGAAGUAACCAAAAACGGAGGCUCGUCGAAUGCUACUAGAACAAAAGAAACUCCAGCUGGGGGAAAGACAAGAAUGACUGGAAGUGACCACUUUCCCGGGAAGGAUAUCCGGGAUCUCCAAAAGAAACUGGACGCACACAUUAUAUGACAUCACGAACUCUGGACAAUGAUCGCACAAAUGCAAGAACAAAUAUAUGCGAAGAACUCGUAUAAGGAAGUUGUGGCUCUACGCUAUGACUGGUUGUGUUCACCGUAAAGGGACACUUCCAUCAUGCGUCUGAGAAUAUGCCAUCACCAAGUUCCUAGAAGCUCAUUACCGCAUGACCAAACAAGACAUCCAGGAAUUUGUGGAGCAACCGUACCCAUCAGAAGUGACAGAUUAGCUACCUAUUCCUAAAGGAUUACACAUCUUAGUACCCAUCGGAACCUUGUACAAACUACCCAUUCCCAGAGGAUUGCACGAGCUAGCACCAGACUAAGAUAAAGGGGCUAGACCGCUAGAGGCAUGAUGCCUCCAUUAAAUCAGAUUGAAGAUUUUAAUCUCAGAGACGUAUUCACCAUGUUCAGAUCUGUCGAUCAGUGGUAAACAUUAUAACAGAAAAGAAAUUUUAAACUCUAGAUCUAGAAUCUUCUAGAUUCAUAAUGUUUUCUUGUUUUGAAAUCUUACUUGUUUCAUGAAAUUUUAAGAGUUGAAAUAUCAGAUAUAGAAUAAAUAGAUGUUUUGAUGAAA